GGCCUAUCUUACACCUCAACUCAAAAAAACUUAACACUUAGAUACAAAUUUUCAAUGUUACUGGAGUUUGAGAGACAUGGGGCCAACAUGUAAAAGAUUUUCCGAAUGGCCAAAGAUGCAUGAAAAGAAGCCCACUUCAAAACUCUUGCAGGUGUAGCCACCACAUCCACCACCACAAUUAUUUUUCCAUUAACACAAGCCACUCAAACUCUUCUUCUCCCAGC
rnacentral:misc_RNA from 1 species